rnacentral:rRNA from 1 species
UACGUAGGUGACCAGCGUUGUCCGGAAUUAUUGGGCGUAAAGCGCGCGCAGGCGGUCCUUUAAGUCUGAUGUGAAAGCCCACGGCUCAACCGUGGAGGGUCAUUGGAAACUGGGGGACUUGAGUGCAGAAGAGGAAAGCGGAAUUCCACGUGUAGCGGUGAAAUGCGUAGAGAUGUGGAGGAACACCAGUGGCGAAGGCGGCUUUCUGGUCUGUAACUGACGCUGAGGCGCGAAAGCGUGGGGAGCAAACAGG